GAUGAACGCUGGCUACAGGCUUAACACAUGCAAGUCGAGGGGACACGCCGGGGAAGCUUGCUUCCCCGGGCGUCGACCGGCGCACGGGUGAGUAACGCGUAUCCAACCUGCCUCUGACUGAGGGAUAACCCGUCGAAAGUCGGACUAAUACCUCAUGGCAUCGUCUGCGGGCAUCCAACGACGAUUAAAGAUUUCAUCGGUCAGAGGUUGGGAUGCGUCUGAUUAGCUUGUUGGUGGGGUAACGGCCCACCAAGGCGACGAUCAGAAGGGGUUCUGAGAGGAAGCUCCCCCACAUUGGAACUGAGACACGGGCCAAACUCCUACGGGAGGCAGGAGUAAGGAAUAUAGGUCAAUGGACGAGAGCCUGAACCAGCCAAGUAGCGUGCAGGAUGACGGCCCUAUGGGUUGUAAACUGCUUGUAUGCGACGAUAAAGUAAGGGACGUGGCCUUCAUUGCAGGUACCGAAUGAAUAAGCACCGGCUAAUUCCGUG
rnacentral:rRNA from 1 species